CCUACGGGAGGCAGCAGUGGGGAAUAUUGGUCAAUGGGGUCAACCCUUACCCAGCCCUGCCGCGUGCCUGAAGACGGUCUUCGGAUUGUAAACCUCUUUCGGUCGUGACGAUGCUGACGGUCGCUUCUCAAUAAUCACCGUCAACCUUCGUUCCAGCAGCCGCGGUAAUACGAAGGGUGCGAGCGUGGUUCGGAAUUACUGGGCGUAAAGGGAGUGUAGGCGGAUAUGUAAGAUAGCGGUGAAAUGCCGGGGCUCAACCCCGGAACUGCCAUUAUGACUAUGUAUCUAGAGUAAUGGAGAGGAUAGCGGAAUACCCAGUGUAGAGGUGAAAUUCGUAGAUAUUGGGUAGAACACCGAUGGCGAAGGCGGCUAUCUGGCCAUUUACUGACGCUGAGGCUCGAAAGCAUGGGGAUCAAACAGGAUUAGAUACCCCAGUAGUC
rnacentral:rRNA from 1 species